rnacentral:rRNA from 1 species
GACGAACGCUGGCGGCGUGCUUAACACAUGCAAGUCGAACGGAAAGGCCCUGCUUUUGUGGGGUGCUCGAGUGGCGAACGGGUGAGUAACACGUGAGUAACCUGCCCUUGACUUUGGGAUAACUUCAGGAAACUGGGGCUAAUACCGGAUAGGAGCUCCUGCUGCAUGGCGGGGGUUGGAAGGUUUCGGCGGUGGGGGAUGGACUCGGGGCUUAUCAGCUUGUUGGUGGGGUAGUGGCUUACCAAGGCUUUGACGGGUAGCCGGCCUGAGAGGGUGACCGGCCACAUUGGGACUGAGAUACGGCCCAGACUCCUACGGGAGGCAGCAGUGGGGAAUAUUGCACAAUGGGCGGAAGCCUGAUGCAGCAACGCCGCGUGCGGGAUGACGGCCUUCGGGUUGUAAACCGCUUUCGCCUGUGACGAAGCGUGAGUGACGGUAAUGGGUAAAGAAGCACCGGCUAACUACGUG